GGAGUCGGCUAGGCAGCCGCUGCGCGCUCCGCGCGCAGAGGAAAGUCCGGGCUCCGCAGAGCGGGAUGCAGGGUAACGCCCUGGCACGGCGACGUGACGAAUAGGGCCACAGAGACGAGUCCUCGGUCCCAAGCCGAGGGGUGAAACGCGGCAACCUCCAUCCGGAGCAACACCAAAUAGGCAAGCGUUCGAGGCCUGCUCGGCCGAGGCUUGCGGGUAGGUGGCAAGAGCCGGGGAGCAAUCCCCGGCCCAGAGGAAUGGCUGCCACGGCGAGCGCCUUAGUUCAGGUGGCUGCCGACAGAACCCGGCUUAUCGGCCGGCUCCCGCU
rnacentral:RNase_P_RNA from 3 species